AAAUUAGUCAUAUUUCGAACGCGAGUGUGGCAUCACUGUUUCUUAGCGCGGGAGAGAUGACAAGGCAGAUAAUGACUGAGCGAUGAUGCGCGCAUGUGUCAAUGAGAUCGCGACGUGGACUACGACGUCGACGUACCAGAGUUUACCUGACUCUGCGGUCCUUUUUUUUACCUAAACGAAUUUCUCGAUUUCGAUUAAACAAAGCUUCUAAAUUUCCAAGACACGGGAUAUAACGGAUGGUUUUCUCAAAAUUUUCCACAGUUUGUGAACACGUGUAACGGAACGACGAUUUUAUAGCUGACGAAAUACCAGGAACGAUUAGCUCAGGAUCAUCUAUAAUGCCUAGACAGAAAGCAUUAAUCAACCGAUAGAUUACAAAUGGCAUGCCCCAAUGCAAUAAUCGCGGACCCUUCAACCCAAAUAGAUCACGAUAGCGAGCGAGCCCCGAACUGAUAAGACCUUGCCGGAGGGGUAGUGAGCUGUAUCUGUGUUACACUAGGGGGUAUGUAUCAAAAUAUUUGUGAUAAGCGAGGAAACUCCAAAAAUAUGAUUGCCUGGA